UACAGAGGGUGCGAGCGUUAAUCGGAAUUACUGGGCGUAAAGCGCGCGUAGGCGGUUUGUUAAGUUGGAUGUGAAAGCCCCGGGCUCAACCUGGGAAUUGCAUUCGAAACUGGCAGGCUAGAGUAUGGUAGAGGGUAGUGGAAUUCCGGGUGUAGCGGUGAAAUGCGUAGAUAUCCGGAGGAACAUCAGUGGCGAAGGCGGCUACCUGGACCAAUACUGACGCUGAGGUGCGAAAGCGUGGGGAGCAAACAGG
rnacentral:rRNA from 1 species